GGUGUGAGCGCGAGCAGAGACGUGGAGGAGAGGCACUUAAGGGUGUCCGUAAAUAUGAGAGGAGGGUGAAGGAGCUCACCUAUCAGACUGAGGAGGACAAGAAAAAUGUUGCACAGGCUGCAGGAUCUAGUUGACAAGUUCAGCUUAAAGUCAAGGCCUACAAGAGGCAGGCUGAGGAGGCGAGGAGCGCCAAAUCUCAUCUGUCCAAGUGCAGGAAGGUGCAGCAUGAGCUGGAGGAGCUGAGGAGCGCGCUGACAUCGCAGAGUCCCAGGUCAACAAGUUGAGAGCGAAGAGCCGUGACUCUGGCAAGGGUAAAGAGGAGCUGAUAAGAAAAACACUGAAAUCAGCUGUUUUUCAAUCAUAUAAUAUGAUGUAGAU